UACGAAGGGGGCUAGCGUUGCUCGGAAUCACUGGGCGUAAAGGGUGCGUAGGCGGGUCUUAAGUCAGGGGUGAAAUCCUGGAGCUCAACUCCAGAACUGCCUUUGAUACUGAAGAUCUUGAGUUCGGGAGAGGUGAGUGGAACUGCGAGUGUAGAGGUGAAAAUUGUAGAUAUUCGCAAGAACACCAGUGGCGAAGGCGGCUCACUGGCCCGAUACUGACGCUGAGGCACGAAAGCGUGGGGAGCAAACAGG
rnacentral:rRNA from 1 species